UACGAAGGGGGCUAGCGUUGCUCGGAAUCACUGGGCGUAAAGCGCACGUAGGCGGAUUGCUAAGUCAGGGGUGAAAUCCUGGAGCUCAACUCCAGAACUGCCCUUGAUACUGGCGGUCUCGAGUCCGGGAGAGGUGAGUGGAACUGCGAGUGUAGAGGUGAAAUUCGUAGAUAUUCGGAAGAACACCAGUGGCGAAGGCGGCUCACUGGUCCGGUACUGACGCUGAUGUGCGAAAGCGUGGGGAGCAAACAGG
rnacentral:rRNA from 1 species